CAGUCGCCACGGUAAUACGUAGGUGGCAAGCGUUGUCCGGAAUUAUUGGGCGUAAAGGGCUCGCAGGCGGUUUCUUAAGUCUGAUGUGAAAGCCCCCGGCUCUACCGGGGAGGGUCAUUGGAAACUGGGAAACUUGAGUGCAGAAGAGGAGAAUGGAAUUCCACGUGUAGCGGUGAAAUGCGUAGAGAUGUGGAGGAACACCAGUGGCGAAGGCGACUCUCUGGUCUGUAACUGACGCUGAGGAGCGAAAGCGUGGGGAGCGAACAGGAUUAGAUACCCGAGUAGUCCCUGUCUCUUAUAC
rnacentral:rRNA from 1 species